rnacentral:rRNA from 1 species
AUUGAACGCUGGCGGCAUGCUUUACACAUGCAAGUCGAACGGCAGCGAGGAGAAGCUUGCUUCUCUGUCGGCGAGUGGCGAACGGGUGAGUAUAGCAUCGGAACGUGCCAAGUAGUGGGGGAUAACCAAACGAAAGUUUGGCUAAUACCGCGUAAGCUCUAAGGAGGAAAGUAGGGGACCUAAAUAAGGCCUUACGCUAUUUGAUCGGCCGAUGUCGGAUUAGCUAGUUGGUGGGGUAAUGGCUCACCAAGGCAAUGAUCCGUAGCGGGUCUGAGAGGACGAUCCGCCACACUGGGACUGAGACACGGCCCAGACUCCUACGGGAGGCAGCAGUGGGGAAUUUUGGACAAAGGGGGAAACCCUGAUCCAGCCAUGCCGCGUGUAUGAAGAAGGACUUAGGGUUGUAAAGUACUUUUGUUAGGGAAGAAAAGCUAGUUUUUAAUAAAAAUUAGUGAUGACGGUACCUAAAGAAUAAGCACCGGCUAACUACGUG